rnacentral:rRNA from 1 species
GACAGAGGAUGCAAGCGUUAUCCGGAAUGAUUGGGCGUAAAGAGCUCGUAGGCGGUCUGUCGCGUCUGCUGUGAAAACUCGGGGCUUAACCCCGGGCCUGCAGUGGGUACGGGCAGACUAGAGUGCGGUAGGGGAGACUGGAAUUCCUGGUGUAGCGGUGAAAUGCGCAGAUAUCAGGAGGAACACCGGUGGCGAAGGCGGGUCUCUGGGCCGUAACUGACGCUGAGGAGCGAAAGCGUGGGGAGCGAACAGG